rnacentral:rRNA from 1 species
GACGUAGGGCGCGAGCGUUGUCCGGAUUUAUUGGGCGUAAAGAGCUCGUAGGCGGCUUGUUGCGUCGACUGUGAAAACCCGCGGCUUAACUGCGGGCUUGCAGUUGAUACGGGCAGGCUAGAGUUCGGUAGGGGAGACUGGAAUUCCUGGUGUAGCGGUGAAAUGCGCAGAUAUCAGGAGGAACACCGAUGGCGAAGGCAGGUCUCUGGGCCACUACUGACGCUGAGAAGCGAAAGCAUGGGGAGCGAACAGG